rnacentral:rRNA from 1 species
CUAUACAUGCAGUCGAGCGAACGGACGAGAGUGCUUGCACUCUCUGAUGUUAGCGGCGGACGGGUGAGUAACACGUGGGUAACCUACCUAUAAGACUGGGAUAACUUCGGGAAACCGGAGCUAAUACCGGAUAAUAUUUAGCUUCGCAUGAAGCAAUAGUGAAAGACGGUUCUGCUGUCACUUAUAGAUGGACCCGCGGUGUAUUAGCUAGUUGGUGAGGUAACGGCUCACCAAGGCAACGAUACAUAGCCGACCUGAGAGGGUGAUCGGCCACACUGGGACUGAGACACGGCCCAGACUCCUACGGGAGGCAGCAGUAGGGAAUCUUCCGCAAUGGACGAAAGUCUGACGGAGCAACGCCGCGUGAGUGAAGAAGGUUUUCGGAUCGUAAAACUCUGUUGUAAGGGAAGAACAAGUACGUUAGUAACUGAACGUACCUUGACGGUACCUUACCAGAAAGCCACGGCUAACUACGUGCCAGCAGCCGCGGUAAUACGUAGGUGGCAAGCGUUAUCCGGAAUUAUUGGGCGUAAAGCGCGCGUAGGCGGUCUCUUAAGUCUGAUGUGAAAGCCCCCGGCUCAACCGGGGAGGGUCAUUGGAAACUGGGAGACUUGAGUGCAGAAGAGGAGAGUGGAAUUCCAUGUGUAGCGGUGAAAUGCGCAGAGAUAUGGAGGAACACCAGUGGCGAAGGCGGCUCUCUGGUCUGUAACUGACGCUGAGGUGCGAAAGCGUGGGGAUCAAACAGGAUUAGAUACCCUGGUAGUCCACGCCGUAAACGAUGAGUGCUAAGUGUUGGGGGGUUUCCGCCCCUCAGUGCUGCAGCUAACGCAUUAAGCACUCCGCCUGGGGAGUACGGUCGCAAGACUGA